GACGAACGCUGGCGGCGUGCUUAACACAUGCAAGUCGAACGGAAAGGCCCUGCUUUUGUGGGGUGCUCGAGUGGCGAACGGGUGAGUAACACGUGAGUAACCUGCCCUGGACUUGGGGAUAACUUCAGGAAACUGGUGCUAAUACCGGAUAGGAGCUCCUGCUGCAUGGUGGGGGUUGGAAAGUUUCGGCGGUUGGGGUUGGAUUCGGGGCUUAUCAGCUUGUGGGUGGGGGAGUGGCUUACCAAGGAUUUGAUGGGUAGCCGGCCUGGGAGGGUGACCGGCACCAUAGGGACAGGGUAGGGGCCAGGGUCCAAUGGGGGGGAAGGGGCGGGAAAAUUUGCCAACGGGGCGGAGGCUGUGGCGAAAAACGCCGGGUGGGGAAGGACGGCAUUGGGGUGGUAACCGCAUUUAGCUUGUACCGAGCCGUGGUGACGGUAAAUGGUAAAGAAGCACCGGCUAACUACGUG
rnacentral:rRNA from 1 species